rnacentral:rRNA from 1 species
UACGUAGGGGGCAAGCGUUGUCCGGAAUCAUUGGGCGUAAAGCGCGUGUAGGCGGUUCAGUAAGUCUGCUGUGAAAGUCCAGGGCUCAACCCUGGGAUGCCGGUGGAUACUGCUGGGCUAGAGUACGGAAGAGGCGAGUGGAAUUCCCGGUGUAGCGGUGAAAUGCGCAGAUAUCGGGGAGGAACACCAAUUGCGAAAGGCAGCUCGCUGGGACGUUACUGACGCUGAGACGCGAAAAGCGUGGGGGAGCAAACAGG